rnacentral:misc_RNA from 1 species
GAUACAUAUUCCAAGUAGAUAUACAGUUUAUCGCCAACCGUUUCUGUCCCGUAGUACCGAACAAUGUUUUGAUGCCUUAAUCGGCUUAACAAUGCAAUCUCUUGUGCCAACUGCUUUGCACUUUCCUUUGACUUUGCGUCAUCUGAAAAUAAUGUAACCUCCUUCAUUGCACACAUUUCACCGCUAUCACUAUUAAAACCAACAUAAACAUGGCCAAAUGUGCCUCUUCCCAGCAAUUUUCCUUUUUUCCAACGAGAGCCAGGGCUAGCAAGGUUCUCAGCUCUACCUGGACUACGAGGCACCGAGGGAGAUGUUGCAACUGAAUUAGAAUGUGAAAAGGGCGAAGAGUUGGAAAUUGUCAAAGGAGGAAGAGGCAAAGGGUGACUUUGUGCUUUUCCAUCAUCAGGCCAACUAGUCUGCAAUUCACCGGCUCCACCAACAGCCCUAGGAUGAAUUGGUGUGACUGUGCCACUAUGAAUUCUUGAGCUAGGUCCCGGACUUGUCAUCCUAGGACUAGGAAUAGGAGAGUACUCUGGACUUCCUCUACAAGGCUGCCAAAACAGUUGUCCAGACAUAUCUCCUCCCAUUGAAUU